CAAACCGUUCAGUCAGUCCAGUCUGCUUCAUGCGGAUUAGUUCUUCUGGUUAGGAUUUGUAGGGAAUAAAUUUGUCUUUUUUUGUACGGCGUGCAGAGAUGUCGUGGGAUUUUAUUGUACCGGUUUGUUUGGACGAUCUCGUGAAGUCUGGUGCUGUUAACCAGUAUGUGGUUCAGGAUGUGCUGUCUGCUAAACAGCUUCCCUCUCACAUCAACAGUUUUAAAGCAGCGCUUAGAAGUCAAGGGCCCCUGUGCAUCCUGGAACAUUUUGACACA